rnacentral:rRNA from 1 species
CCUACGGGAGGCUGCAGUGGGGAAUAUUGCACAAUGGACGGAAGUCUGAUGCAGCAACGCCGCGUGCGGGAUGAAGGCCUUCGGGUUGUAAACCGCUUUCACCUCCGGCGAAUUUGACGGUAGGAGGAGAAGAAGCACCGGCUAACUACGUGCCAGCAGCCGCGGUGAUACGUAGGGUGCGAGCGUUGUCCGGAUUUAUUGGGCGUAAAGAGCUCGUAGGUGGUUGUUUGCGUCGGAAGUGAAAACCUAGCGCUUAACGGUGGGCUUGCUUUCGAUACGGGAUGACUUGAGGGAUGUAGGGGAGAACGGAAUUCCUGGUGGAGCGGUGGAAUGCGCAGAUAUCAGGAGGAACACCGGUGGCGAAGGCGGUUCUCUGGACAUUUCCUGACGCUGAGGAGCGAAAGCGUGGGGAGCAAACAGGCUUAGAUACCCCUGUAGUC